rnacentral:rRNA from 1 species
UACGUAGGGUGCAAGCGUUGUCCGGAAUUAUUGGGCGUAAAGAGCUCGUAGGCGGUUUGUCGCGUCGGCUGUGAAAACUCGGGGCUUAACCCCGAGCCUGCAGUCGAUACGGGCAGACUUGAGUUCGGCAGGGGAGACUGGAAUUCCUGGUGUAGCGGUGAAAUGCGCAGAUAUCAGGAGGAACACCGGUGGCGAAGGCGGGUCUCUGGGCCGAAACUGACGCUGAGGAGCGAAAGCGUGGGGAGCGAACAGG